CGGCCAGACUCCUACGGAGGCAGCAGUGGGGAAUAUUGCACAAUGGGGGGAACCCUGAUGCAGCGACGCCGCGUGGGUGAAGGAGCACCUCGGUGCGUAAAGCCCUAUCGGCAGGGAAGAAACAGACGGUACCUGACUAAGAAGCCCCGGCUAACUACGUGCCAGCAGCCGCGGGAAUACGUAGGGGGCAAGCGUUAUCCGGAUUCACUGGGUGUAAAGGGAGCGUAGACGGCGACGCAAGUCUGGAGUGAAAGCCCGGGGCCCAACCCCGGGACUGCUCUGGAAACUGCGUCGCUGGAGUACGGGAGGGGCAGGCGGAAUUCCUGGUGUAGCGGUGAAAUGCGUAGAUAUCAGGAGGAACACCGGCGGCGAAGGCGGCCACCUGGACCGGUAUUGACGCUGAGGCGCGAAAGCGUGGGGAGCAAACAGGAUUAGAUACCCGAGUAUU
rnacentral:rRNA from 1 species